rnacentral:rRNA from 1 species
CCACAUUGGAACUGAGACACGGUCCAGAUUCCUACGGGAGGCAGCAGUGGGGAAUAUUGCGCAAUGGGGGAAACCCUGACGCAGCAACGCCGCGUGAAUGAUGAAGGCCUUCGGGUUGUAAAGUUCUGUCUUCUGGGACGAUAAUGACGGUACCAGAGGAGGAAGCCACGGCUAACUACGUGCCAGCAGCCGCGGUAAUACGUAGGUGGCAAGCGUUGUCCGGAUUUACUGGGCGUAAAGGAUGCGUAGGCGGACAUUUAAGUCAGAUGUGAAAUACCCGAGCUUAACUUGGGUGCUGCAUUUGAAACUGGGUGUCUAGAGUGCAGGAGAGGUAAGUGGAAUUCCUAGUGUAGCGGUGAAAUGCGUAGAGAUUAGGAAGAACACCAGUGGCGAAGGCGACUUACUGGACUGUAACUGACGCUGAGGCAUGAAAGCGUGGGGAGCAAACAGGAUUAGAUACCCUGGUAGUCCACGCCGUA